AGAAAACGACUUAAUAAGAGAGGCAGUGAAGAACUCAGCAACUUCAUCACCACCAAAUUUCCUUACCAACUUCCCUUCUUUUUCCUCUCUACUCUUUUCGCCAUUCCUCACUGUAAUUCUACCCCCCGUUUCUUCACCGGACCAAUUGCUUUGUGUGUUCCUUGAAAGUUUUUUUACUCCUCGCUGAUCUUCCCGGCCGGAGAGAGGAUAUAUAUAUCUUUUGGAUCUUUCAAACGGUUUUGUUUUGACUUCGUUUUGUGCGCUUCUUCCUUUCUCCCAUGGCUAUGGACGAUACCGAAAGCUGUAGUAGUAGAGCGGUGGAUGACUUCUCAGCUCAGACUUGGAGACAGAAGCAGAAGGUUGGAGUUUACGACGAAGUUCUUCGUCGACUCAGGCUGUCGCACGAAGCGGAGACCAGCCUUCCUGGUUUUGAGGAUGAACUCUGGGCUCAUUUUCAUCGACUUCCUACUAGGUAUGCUAUGGACGUCAAUGUUGAGAGGGCUCAAGACGUUCUCAUGCACAAAAAUCUUCUCUACAUGGCACGUGAUCCUGAUACUCGACCUGCAAUUGACGUUCGUCUUGUACAGGUUCAUUCAUCUCCUGGCAGGAACUUUGGCAAGUCAGUUAAUUGGAGCUUGAAGGAAAAAGUGGACCAGGAGCGGUUUUCUGGUUAUGACAGCAAUCAGAGACACCACCCCCCACCAGCAUUUGGUUCAUCAACACGGGUCGAAUAUGGUUUUGAGACCAGCCAAUUACAUGAUAUAGACCAACGGGGGACUUUCUCCUGGCCAAUGCAUGAAAUUACAAUAUCAACAAUUGACAAGCCAAAAUUGCUCAGUCAGUUGACGUCCUUACUUUCUGAGAUUGGGCUGAAUAUUCAAGAAGCACAUGCUUUUUCAACAACAGAUGGCUUUUCUUUGGAUGUUUUUGUAGUUGAUGGUUGGAUAAUUGAGGAUACCAAGCAGCUAAAAGAUAUACUGGCAGAAGAAAUAUCAAAGAUUCAGAAAAGGCAUCCUCCAUUCACACCUUGCAUUUUCCAUACUGAGAAGCAAGACAGAUUUGGAGUCAAGUUCACCACAAAGUAUGUCAACAUUCCAAGAGACGAAGUUGAUGCAUGGGAAAUUGAUGCAAGCCUGCUAGUAUUUGAGAAGAAAAUUGCGUCUGGAUCUCUUAGUGACUUGUAUAAAGGCACCUUUUGUGGUCAAGAUGUUGCUAUUAAGCUUCUAAAAAAUGAAAACUUGAAUGAGACUGUACGGCGGGAAUUUGUUCAAGAAAUACAUAUCAUGAGAAAACUUCGGCACAAGAAUGUUGUCCAAUUUAUUGGUGCAUCUACUAGGCCUCCAAGCUUUUUCAUUGUUACAGAGUACAUGUCUGGUGGAAGCAUACACGACUUUUUACAUCAACAAAAGGGCGUUCUUAGUUUUCCUUCCUUACUAAGAGUGGCAAUUGAUGUGUCGAAGGGAAUGGACUAUUUGCAUCAAAAGAAUAUCAUCCAUAGAGAUCUAAAAGCUGCAAAUCUUUUGAUGGAUGAAUAUGGGGUCGUCAAGGUAGCUGAUUUUGGUGUUGCUAGGGUGCUAGCUCAAUCUGGUGUGAUGACUGCCGAAACUGGAACAUAUCGUUGGAUGGCUCCAGAGGUUAUUGAGCACAAACCGUACGAUCAUAAAGCUGACGUUUAUAGCUUUGGGAUAGUGUUGUGGGAGCUGCUUACAGGACAGCUGCCUUAUAAUAACUUGACUCCGUUACAAGCAGCAAUAGGCGUGGUCCAGAAGGGUCUGAGGCCUAAGAUUCCGAGGCAUGCUCAUCCGAUGAUCGUGGAUUUGCUCGAGAAAUGCUGGCUGCAGGAUCCAUCUUUGAGACCCGAAUUCUCGGAAAUUACGAGACUUCUAAAACAGACACCACCAAAGGAGGUAGGGAAAAGUUGUGUUUGAAACUGUUAAAAUUUAUUCAUUUGUUUUUCAGGCACUUGACGUUGUUGGAACAAGAUUAUAUAUAUAAUAAGAAACUUGGGAGUGACAGGAACCUUCUGGAAGAUGAUUAAAAAUUCUGGGGUGGAGAAAGGACGUUCUAUGGAGGAGACCCAAAAGGAAAUAAAUAGGCCACACUCAAAAUGGUAUUGCUUCAGCAAUAGCCAACCUGCAAUGGAAGUGUAUCUGCCGUACCUGCAAGUUUAUGCAAAAUUUUGUAAAUAUAUUUGGAGUGUAUUUAGAAGCAAUGAGAUAGAAUGUUGUAAUUUUGAUUAAAAAAAAAAAAAUUGGGCGUCUGAAAAUUAUUGAUUUAUGUAAUUUUUGUUGUUUACUGGGAAUUCGUGAGUUGAGAAAAUUAGAUUUAAGAGAUAUUUGCAUUUUGCAACUGAAUUAUAGUUGAAAUUACAAGUCUUUAUGUAUUACAUAUCACACUCAUUACCA